rfam:Danio rerio chromosome 7, GRCz11 reference primary assembly.
CCAAAGGUUCUUUUAAGAACCACCCACUUACUCCUCAAAAAGCAAU